CCCAGCAGGGGCCUCCUUGGGAUCACAUCAUGGACAGGUGCAUAUAUGUGAGAGUCUUGCUGAUGCUUCUCUUCCUCUGACCGUGUGGGGUGAGGGGUUCACCGAGCCUUCCCAUUCCUUGGAAAACACCCAGGGUGGGCCUUGACUUACAGAUGUAAAAUGAAAUGCAGGUGGAGUGGAAAAAGCCCUGCUCCAGUGCCUGGUGUUGGCAGGAGGUUGGAGCCAACUAAUGUGACCGUGUAGAUGGAUCGGACCAGUAAGGGAAGAAGAGGACGUGUUACUGAGAGGGGGAGCGCUUGCCUCUGGUGGAUGACAAAGGAGCUGCUAUCCAGUAACCAAGGUGAGGAGCUGUGAACGUCCACGCGAGUUUUCCUCCUGCUGACACCACCGUCCCCAGUCCUUUCCUCAUCCAUCCACCUGGUGGUCCGGUUAAAGAACCAUGCCGGAACAACAUUGGAAGUGUGAAGUCCACAGCUGUCAGGGAUGCUGAGGCUGAUCUGUAUGGGCCCACUCACAUGUAACUCUGUGUCUCCGGAGAAAAGCUGCACACUUACAGCCGCCACCGGACUCAACUCCACACUGAGAUUGGCUUCCUAUCCUCUGUGAUGUCUGCCUGCGGAGCUUCCUGUCGCCAAAACGUGAGCAAAUCCUUUCUCGGCUGGCUUCUUCACCAUCAUAGCUUUUCUGUGACAGGGGCCUCAGAGAGGCCCUGAGCUGACACAUUUGUCCUCCCAGCUCUAGUCCCCUCUGACAAGGUAUAAAUCGGAGUCUAAACACACAAGCAGGAGGCUCGAUGACAGUCUCCAUGAUCAAUUUGCCACAAAUUAGAUACAGCAAUGGUUCAUUUCUCCACAUAAAUAGCUGCAUCUACAGGGACUAUUUUGGAAAUCUGUGCCUGCUCUCUGCUCCAUCCCUGGCUGCUUUCCUCUAUUAAUCUUAUCAGAGCACA